UGCAAGUCUGGUGCCAGCAGCCGCGGUAAUUCCAGCUCCAAUAGCGUAUAUUAAAGUUGUUGCAGUUAAAAAGCUCGUAGUUGAACCUUGGGCUUGGUUGGCCGGUCCGCCUUUUUGGCGAGUACUGGACCCAACCGAGCCUUUCCUUCUGGCUAACCUUUCGCCCUUGUGGUGUUUGGCGAACCAGGACUUUUACUUUGAAAAAAUUAGAGUGUUCAAAGCAGGCCUUUGCUCGAAUAUAUUAGCAUGGAAUAAUAGAAUAGGACGUUAUGGUUCUAUUUUGUUGGUUUCUAGGACCAUCGUAAUGAUUAAUAGGGACGGUCGGGGGCAUCAGUAUUCAGUUGUCUGAGGUGAAAUUCUUGGAUUUACUGAAGACUAACUACUGCGAAAGCAUUUGCCAAA
rnacentral:rRNA from 1 species